AUACGUAGGGUGCAAGCGUUAAUCGGAAUUACUGGGCGUAAAGCGUGCGCAGGCGGUUUUGUAAGACAGAGGGGAAAUCCCCGGGCUCAACCUGGGAACUGCCAUUGUGACUGCAAGGCUGGAGUGCGGCAGAGGGGGAUGGAAUUCCGCGUGUAGCAGUGAAAUGCGUAGAUAUGCGGAGGAACACCGAUGGCGAAGGCAAUCCCCGGGGCCUGCACUGACUCUCAUGCACGGAAGCGUGGGGAGCAAACAGGAUUAGAUACCCUGGUAGUCCACGCCCUAAACGAUGUCAACUGGUUGUUGGGGAUUUAGUUUCUCAGUAACGAAGCUAACGCGUGAAGUAGACCGCCUGGGGAGUACGGCCGCAAGGUUAAAACUCAAAGGAAUUGACGGGG
rnacentral:rRNA from 1 species